rnacentral:rRNA from 1 species
AACGAACGCUGGCGGCAUGCCUAACACAUGCAAGUCGAACGAGACCUUCGGGUCGAGUGGCGCACGGGUGCGUAACGCGUGGGAACCUGCCCUUAGGUUCGGAAUAACUCCCCGAAAGGGGUGCUAAUACCGGAUAAUGUCUUCGGACCAAAGAUUUAUCGCCUUUGGAUGGGCCCGCGUUGGAUUAGCUAGUUGGUAGGGUAAAAGCCUACCAAGGCGACGAUCCAUAGCUGGUCUGAGAGGAUGAUCAGCCACACUGGGACUGAGACACGGCCCAGACUCCUACGGGAGGCAGCAGUGGGGAAUAUUGGACAAUGGGCGCAAGCCUGAUCCAGCAAUGCCGCGUGAGUGAUGAAGGCCUUAGGGUUGUAAAGCUCUUUUACCCGGGAUGAUAAUGACAGUACCGGGAGAAUAAGCUCCGGCUAACUCCGUG